GUGGGGAAUAUUGGGCAAUGGGGGAAACCCUGACCCAGCAACGCCGCGUGAGUGAAGAAGGCCUUCGGGUUGUAAAGCUCUGUCAUUAGGGAAGAAGAAGUGACGGUACCUAAUGAGGAAGCCCCGGCUAACUACGUGCCAGCAGCCGCGGUAAUACGUAGGGGGCGAGCGUUGUCCGGAAUUACUGGGCGUAAAGGGUGCGUAGGCGGCGUGUUAAGUUGGAUGUGAAAUACCCGGGCUUAACCUGGGGGGUGCAUUCGAUACUGGCAGGCUAGAGUGCAGGAGAGGGAAGCGGAAUUCCUAGUGUAGCGGUGAAAUGCGUAGAUAUUAGGAGGAACACGAGUGGCGAAGGCGGCUUUCUGGACUGUAACUGACGCUGAUGCACGAAAGCGUGGGGAGCAAACAGGAUUAGAUACCCCUGUAGUCC
rnacentral:rRNA from 1 species